rnacentral:ncRNA from 3 species
AAUGAGGAAUACCUAAUAAUUGCUUGAGCUGCUAGGGGUGUUGGUCGAUUAAGACAAUAGGACGGUGGUCAUGGAAGUCGAUAUCCGCGAAGGAGUGAGUAACAACUCACCUGCCAAAUCAACUAGCCCCGAAAAUGGAUGGCGCGGAAGCGUGCGACCCACACCCGGCCAUCUGGGCGAGCGCCGUGCCCCGAUG